GGUCAGUGAAGAGUUCAGACCACCCCCGCCCAGAGCUGGGCGGGGGAGGGGAAGCCAUGUGGCCUAAGCUGAGAAAGCACCUCUACUGCUACAUUACAGAUGCAAAAUGAACUUGCUGUAGGAGAACUUUAUUGUCUUUCAAGACAUUUGGGGUUUUUUUGCAGAGACUAUCAUCUGGCACCUUAGUGCAGCACUAAACUUUCAUGUGACACAAACCAACAGAAUAAUUUUGGAACACUGUAGUGCUUCUACAGCACUGAAUAUUUUUAGGGAUGUGCUGCAUGGAUCUUUGGACAAUUUUUUUUUUGUACAAAUGAAAUAAAUGUCUACUCAACAGGAUUCUACAAGCACUGAGUUUACAGAUAGUGAAAACACUGCAGAGUUCCAUAGAGCUCAGCCUGAUUCAUCUAUUUGUAGUUACACAAAAAUAACUUAAAAUGGUGUGGGAGAAAUUAAAAAUGUUGCUUUUAACACCAAAUUACUACUUUUACUUUUUUUUUUCUUUAAACUUUACAACUUGUUUCAGUAUGUUUUCCUGAGGUGUUCUUGUUUUCUGUAGUAUGCCCAAUUAUGUCAGCUUUAAUCAAGCCAUUCUAUAGAGCACUGAACAUACUUAACGAUACAGUGACUGGUAAUAUUUAUUAUGCUGCAUUGAAAACUUCAUAAAAGCCUAGAAAUUCAAUUGCUUCAUUAGUUCUGCACAGUGCUUGUUCUUUAUCGUUUUAAUAUCUCCACUUUGCAUGCUGAUUUGAAAUGAGUUCACUGGAUUUUUUUAAAUAUGCCUUAAUAUUUUGACAUGGCACAAAUUACAUCCAAUCAUAACAAAUACUCAUAAGUGCUUAACUUGUGAAAUUGUUUUAAAGCAAAUAUGCCAUAGAAUUGUGGUUUGAAAAAUUUAAAUUUUACUUUAGGAAAUAUUUGCUAUUUCAUUAGCUUUUAAAACUAUGGCUGUUGGGCACCUUUCAUUGAUGCUGCACAAGUUUCUACUCACUAGCUAAAAAUUCUUCAGUUAACUACAAACUAAUUCUGUAUGAAACCAUAGCUGUUUAUGGCUCAAUUACUAUUCAUCAUUGAGGUCAGAUUACAUUACAGGUCACUGUCUGGCCUUAACUGAUAAUUUUGCUUGUGCCAAGCCCUGAGAGAUGCAAACUACCAUGUGUGUAUGUGUGUGUGCACAGACGUGCAAGCGCCUUAGAGAAUGGACCUUCAGUAGUGCUUAGCAGUGUUGACUACACUGUCUGAAAGGCUUUUUUAAAAUAAUCAGCUUCAUUAAAAUGUUGUAGUAGUUUAAAGUGACUUCUGCAAGCUCUAUGUUGCAUAGCAUUAUAUAUAGCAUGGAUGGGAGUAUGUCUGACAUGGGGUCUUAGGUAAUUGAAAAGAAGAUAAGCAGUAUUUUUGGCAGCUGGAGUCUGCCAAUAAUUUAAAACUCUUUGAGUUUUCCUGACAGCUGAAAAUGGCAGUUAUAUCAAACAAUUCUUUCUUAAAAUGUCAAUGGCUAGGAAAAUCAAUAUGCCUGUUAGCACUACCCUGCUUCUUCCAGCUGUGCUCCCCUAUUUUGGAGGAAAGCAUUGCUUCAUGUUGCUUUCUAAUAGAAGGUUGAUCUCAUAAGAGGCUUAUUCAAGGAUUCUAAAUCUUACUGCCUCUUCUUGAGUUUUCCAAGCACCACAUUGCUCUGUGCAUCUCCCAUGCUCUUCUUAACUGGACUUUUCAGUUCUUCUUUUCCUGGUUCUGCUCAUGCCAGAGGGAAUCUCCAAGUUCACUUGUUUGUCUUGGAAAUGAGGGCCUUGUUUUCAUUUAUGGCCCUAGAUAGUGAAUGGUGACAAAAUUGAAAGAAAUGCAAAGAGAAAGAAAAAGUCUUCUGGACUAUGGGAGCAGUCAAGAGAGCCACAGUAAGUCCAGUGGAGUACUGCCAUCUAUGCAAAUGAUGAUGUGCGACCACUACAUUUGAACACCUGAAUUAGAUGGGACUUCUUUAUUUCAAGGCCUUAGAGAAUGUGAAUGUGUCAUGGUUUGACUUUGGCAUAAUGCCAGUGCCCCUAUGAAAGGUAUAUUUCCAAAAUGGUUAUUGUGAGAUGUGACUCGGAAACAGAACAAAGCAGGCUCUAACUUUGGAAUGGAGAGAAAAACACAACACUUUAUUAAUUUACAACAUAAGAGACAAAAGGGAAAAAAAAAGAAAAACAAACACACACAACAAUCUACAAUGGAAUACUUCUAAAACACUUCUCUCCACUCUUCUAACACUCAAUUUUCAAUCCAAUACUAUCUUCCACACAACUUCCUUCAGUUUAUCAGGAGAGAGGAAUCUCCCUCUUGCGCCAUGGGCCUCCCCAGGAAACACAGUUGGAACUUCUUGUGCUUCUAUGUCACACAUGGCAGCGGCCGAAGAGAAUUUGCUGUGGUGACUAUUUUCCUUCCAUAUCUAGUGCUUUCACUACUGUCUAUGGAUCUAAACUGCUUCUUAGGUUUUUUUAAGAAUGCCUUGCCUAGUUCUAAGAAGUGGCCGCCUCUCACCAUUUGGGACACCUCUCCCUCCCAUAUUUACUCCCCUGGAGCCUGGGGGUCUCAGGAACAGAGAACCUUCGCUGAAGGCAGAAGGUUCUACUACACCCUCCCUAUCAGUCUCUGUUCUCUCUACUUCUCAUAAUGGCCUUGUCACUCCUGGCUUUUGGCCAACCGCCUCCCCCAAGGUGUAGUCACUACAUUACAGGAAGAUUUGGUUCCGUCUCGUGGCCAUGUAAGAGAAAAGUCUAGCUAAAGCUACUCUAAAUUAUCUCCUCUAUUUAGGGCGCUUCUUAUCUGCUGGUAUUUCUUCACUUACUCAAGCCUUCUUCUCAUCUGCCUAUCCUCCGUCCCUUCUCAGGUCUCAGCUAGGGAGGAUCAGUGUUUCUUACAGCUUCCAUUGUUUCAGCACCAACGGGAUUAAAACCUCAGCUGAGGUCUGCCGGCCUGGGCACCUUGCCCCCCCUCCUCCUUUCUUCUCCUGGCCACGGUGCUGGCACAAGAUAUCAAAUUUCAAGCCAGCACAGUCUCUAUCACUCUCUCCGGGGGGGGGCUGCCCAAAACAUCCCAGGUCUCCUCCACCCCUGCACCUUGCAGGGCUCCGGCCUCCCUUCCCACAGGCCGCAUGGCCUCCCCCUCCCCCACCCAGAUGCAGCUGGGCAGGGGAGGAGGUCAGAUUCAACUUACUGCCAGACUCCAAAAGAGAAAGCCCCUCUGGGAAUCCUCUGCUUUUAACCUCUGUGUGUUCUCAGAGGUGUAUCCAGGUCCCCAGUGGCCACAACAGGUGUCAAUUUCUAAUCUGGCCACUGAUUGGUUUGACCACAACUUUCCCAGAAACUCACUUCCUGGUCAAACCACGACAGAAUGUGAUAGAAUUAGAAGUUUACUCUGGUUUUCCUGUACUGUUUCUGGACUCGCUUACCUACAAUUUAGCUUUUAUCUUCUUUUAGUAUUAAUAAAAGUGACAGAAGAAGACAGGUGGGAUUGAAUUAGUCUAUUUUUGGUAGUUUUACACAGAAUAGUGAACGCAGGUGAUAUGGAUGUAUAGGUAAGUUAACAUAAUAGGCCUUUCUGGAGCUCUUCAUGUGGCUAUCACUGUAUACUUUCCAGUGUAAAUCAGGGGCUGGUGAGGCCUUCAAGUAGGGCAAAUAUGGUUUUAAACACCUGUCCUUCAUGCACUCCUAAUGUACCUGACAAAGACAUGGAGCUCAAGCCCAUAAACCAUGUAAAUGCCUAAUUAAUUGUUCAUCUACAGUCUAAGGGUUUAAUAAAUAAAUUUUUGAUUGGUCUACCUCAGUAUAUGUACACUGUGGGACCUUAUGGCAAGAUCAGAUGUUGAUGAAGUGCUGUUGAAGUUUAUUGGGAUUUUAGUGUUUCCCUGUGUAGCUCUACAACUGAAAGGGGUUAGAAGUUACAAACACGUUAAUUCAGAAAUCUGUCUUCCAUUCAGUUCUAAAUCUUGCUCUAAUAGUCUAUAGAAAAGAAUAUAUGUUUGCAAGUUUAUCACUACCUUUGGAAUCACCUCAAUUUUUUACAGUGCAAUAAAGGUACAGCACCUGUAGUCAGUGUUAACACAUAUAGCUGGUGAUUGCUCAUAAUUGUAACUGCUUGUUUAAUGUGCUUAACCCAAUAAAAUCUCAACAGUGCUUUUAAAAACAAAGCAGACAAAACCCCCCCAACCAUAACCCUAUUAUUCACAUCAUGUGACAUUAGAUAUAUUCAUUACAAAAAACUAUUUUCCAUGGGAAGGGAUUAGGAUGGUGUCUGCAUCAUAUGUUUGCUUUCUAGCUUUUUAGAAAGACUAGACUACAAAUUAAUUAAAAUAAGAGGCAAGCCUUGGGUCAAAGUCCUGUUUUACUUCUUUGAAGCUUCAGAAACAGUUAAUUUUUAUAUUGACUAAAACAAUACUGACUUCUCUUUUCUUUUAACUUUUAAAUCUGAAUGUUUGGCUCAGUAUAGAUAUUUCCUGAGUCUUGAUGAGUUUGUGAUUAAUUUAUUUUUAUCUUAAUGGAGAUAGCAUUACUGUGAGGUAAUUUUUACAGCUACUUAAACUGGCAAAUAAUUGUAAUAAAAAAGCAUCUUGUAGCAUUAUCCUCAGCAGCAAUGAGAAUUAAUUAUCCCAGGCUCAGAGUCUCGUAAGUUAUAGUUUUCAUUAAAAAUAGGUAAUUCACCGAAAAUAUAUAGUGAAAAUAAAUAAGAUUUAGGAGCCUGGAAAGAUUACCUUUAUAAAAAUUAUUUAUUACAUUAAGCAUUCUGUUUUAUUAUUAGAGUAUUUUUUGUUUCAAAGGUCCAGCUUUAUGUGCAGGCAUAUAAAAUUGUAACAAAUUUUUUACGGCUUCCUCCUGUUAGGUUUGAAUAGCUUUCAUUUGUAUGUCUUUGCUAUAUGUGUCUAAAGAGCUUUGCUUAAUCUUUUGUGCAGUGGGACAGAAGCAUGCCUUUAUAAGGCAUAUGUUUAAACUGUAAAUGUAACAUCUAGUUAUACAUUUAAAAGCCAUGUAGAUGGGGAUUUUCAUAUAUACAUUCAGUGGGGUUUUGUUUGGGAUUUUGUUUUUGUGGUUUCUUGGGGGUUUUGGGUCUUUCUGAAGAAUGAAGUUUGGAAUUUUAUGGGCUUGUAAAAUCUUUAAGUGCAAGAACUGCCCAUCAGCAAUAUUUUAAAAUGGAUGAUCUAGCAAGAAAUAUCAAUAUGAAUUGUGGAAAUAAUAGGCAAAAGAUGCAACCUAUCCAAAAUUGGUUUGUGCCAUUGUUAUGUUUGGUAUUUUUGUGUGUCAUCUAACCUGAGAAUAUUUAUUUUUAUUUGUUGUGCAAUAAGAUACACAACACUGCCACCUCUGGGAAUGUAGGACUGCAAAAUUUCAAUAGACUGAGUCUGAAAGCUUGUCUUGCUCCAUUGUUGUUAUAAUGGCAUAAUAAGUCUUAGGAGAUUCAUUUUUUUCCCUACUGGAUGGGAAUGGAACUAUACAGCUAACCUAUUUUUUCAAUUCUAUGAAUCUUACCAUUAAGUAGAAUUGGAAAGAGCCAACUAGUCUGUACAAUAACACAUUAAUCUUAAUAAAUGCAUUUCCUCAGCCAUACUUAAGAAAUGUUUUUAGUACAUAAGGUUGUAUUUUGCAGAAAAAUAUAUGUUUUGUAUCUGCUCUGGUAAUUAAUUCAGUUUUUCUGCCUAAAGUUAAUAACAACAAAAAAAAAAGCCACACAUACUAGAUUGUUUGCAUAAGAUUCACUUAACUGUAAUUGACAGUUAUUGACUUCUGUCUGACAGAUGCUGAGAAAGCAUUAAGGUGCAUAACAUCAGCAUGGAAAAAUACUUCAUUCUCUGCUUUCAUGAAAAUUUGUAAUCAUGUACAGACACUCUCUAGGUACCUGCCUUUUGUGUGAAGCCAACAGUCAUAUUUUUACAAUGGAGUUUGAUAUGCCUAUACACAAAUUUAAAACUAUUCUUGUUGCUUGAGCCAUUUGAGUGGAUCCUCAAGGCUCCUUGGAAACUUUUUGAAGUCACCAUGAUCUGCUGAGAUCAGAUUGCAAGACAGGGGCUAAAAGGCCAACUCUGCAAACUCUUACAGUGGUAACUUUAUUACUAACCUAGAUAGUUGUCUUAGGUUACAAGAUGUAGCUGGGGGUGUGUAUUCUAUUACCAUCUGUUAGAGGUGGAACAGUUAUCUUCUGUUAAUUGGGCAGUGUUCCUUAUCUUUCCACAAACCAAUCCUCCCUCCAGAGUGAUAUCUUCUGUUAAUGGGCCAUUGAGUCUCACUGCAUGACUGAUAAAAAUUACAUAAUCCCAUGGUGAGAUGCUCUGUCCAGAGGGAGGAGCCAAGCAUUCCUACCUGGAUAUAAUCUGAGACUUGGAUGAUUACAAGCAGCCUUUUCCCACUGGAUUCACAGAGGAGCAGCUUUCUUCUCCACUGGAUUCCCAGAAGAAGACCAGGCCUAUCUACACUACUAACGGACCUUCAGAGGAAAACUACACCCUUCUACAGGAUCACUGCUUCAACAGAACCACAUUUGUCACUGCAGGAGGACUGCAGCCACCAUUUAAUGGGACUGCUACCACCACCCUGACCAACAGGGUGUCAGGUCGUAUUCUGACUCUAUCAAUAGGUUUUUUGUACUAUUGCAUUUAUAUUUUUAAUUUUCUUAUUAAAAGACUAUUAUUCCUAUUCCCAUAUCUUUACCUAAGAGCCCCUUAAUUUCAAAAUUAUAAUAAUUCAGAGGGAGGGGGUUUACAUUUUCCAUUUCAAGAGAAGCUCCUGCCUUCCUUAGCAGACACCUGUCUUUUCAAACCAAGACAAUAGUUCCACUGAAAGCAGUGGAAUCAUUCAUGUGGACAAAAUUGCUUACAUGUGUGUCUGCAAAAUGGAGUCCGAAGUUUGGAAGGACAGACUGAUGUGUCUGUAUAUUUUAACUUUAAAAACUUUGGUUUAAUACAGUUCUUUUAUCCAAGUAAUUUAAUUUUCUGCAACAACAUUAAGGUUAAAGGACAAUAAACCAAUACACUCAUUAAGCUUUUAUCCUUGAUAUGCGGCAUAAUGAAAAUACUGAAACUAUCAGAGUAUAAGACUAUAUUUUUUACUUGGUUUCACUUCAGAGAUGACUUUUUCAUACUGUUUCCUGUGUGAUUUUUAUACUAUUGGUGGCUAGUUUUGGUCUGAAUAAGUUUUUUGAGAUUAUUGCUUAAUGUUUUGACCUUACAAUAGUCAUGCUUGUAUCCAGUGUUUUGCCAAAUAAUAUUAUAUGCUUGUUAAUAAAAGCAAAAAAGCUACUUAAA